rnacentral:rRNA from 1 species
GACGUGAGUCAGGUCGGUCCCUACCUUCCGUGGGUGUAGGAGAUUUGAGGGGCUCUCUCCCUAGUACGAGAGGACUGGGAGGGACGGACCUCUGGUGUUCCUGUUGUCGCGCCAGCGGCAGCGCAGGGUAGCUAUGUCCGGUUCGGAUAAGCGCUGAAGGCAUAUAAGCGCGAAGCCAUUCCCAAAACGAGAUCUCCCUGGACUUUGUCCCUAAAGGGUCGUGGAAGACCACCACGUUGAUAG